rnacentral:rRNA from 1 species
GGGAAUCUACCUUUUGCUACGGAAUAACUCAGGGAAACUUGUGCUAAUACCGCAUGUGCCCCCCUUUAAAAUUUCAGGAUACAUAAAAUGCCCUGGCAUUUUAUGGGGGGGAAAGAUUUAUCGGCAAAGGAUGAGCCCGCGUUGGAUUAGCUAGUUGGUGGGGUAAAGGCCCACCAAGGCGACGAUCCAUAGCUGGUCUGAGAGGAUGAUCAGCCACACUGGGACUGAGACACGGCCCAGACUCCUACGGGAGGCAGCAGUGGGGAAUAUUGGACAAUGGGCGCAAGCCUGAUCCAGCCAUGCCGCGUGAGUGAUGAAGGCCCUAGGGUUGUAAAGCUCUUUCACCGGUGAAGAUAAUGACGGUAACCGGAGAAGAAGCCCCGGCUAACUUCGUGCCAGCAGCCGCGGUAAUACGAAGGGGGCUAGCGUUGUUCGGAUUUACUGGGCGUAAAGCGCACGUAGGCGGACUUUUAAGUCAGGGGUGAAAUCCCAGAGCUCAACUCUGGAACUGCCUUUGAUACUGGAAGUCUUGAGUAUGGUAGAGGUGAGUGGAAUUCCGAGU